GGCUUGUCGGCGUUCGCGGUUGUUUGGCCAUCCAGGGCCUUCCGCAGCGCCGCGAAAGCGCAGUUCUCGUUGGUGUAACGUUUUCUUUUUUUUUUUUUUCAGCCACUUCCGGCUCCUGCGUCUCUCCGGAAGCCUGCGAGUUCCGGAAGCCUUGGUAAUCCAGAUUCGGCUAGGAAAAGACAAGCUUUCCAGAGAAUGUUUCAGAGAAAGUUACGUGGAGCGUGGGCGUUUCGCAGACUCCUAAGUGGUCUGGAACCUAACCUGCAAUGUCUCUGAGGUAUGCCUGUUUUCUUACGUGAUUCUGAUGAAGUCACAAGUUUGAAAACCACUAGACUAGAGGAGCAGAGACCACAGGACUGUGAUGGUGAAGACCACAGUUUAGAAGGAUUAAAAGCCCAGAGAUAUAUGUAUCUUUAUCAUAGACACAUAUAUCUGUUAGCAGUUAAAAACUACCAGAAUAAGAUUACGUUGUUACAAAGAAAGUUGAAUGUGUUACAAAUAGACAAGAUCUAUCCUGUUUUAAAUCACUGCCUUCUUGAUUUUAGCACUUAUGUAGAUCAAGUAGGUUUAAAAUAGAUUAGUUUUACCAGAGGGGCAUCAGACUUCUAAAAUUCUACCCAGAUUUUUUCUGUCGUAUUUACAUAACUGCCUACUGAACUUUUCCACUUAGAUGUCUCAUAGGAUCCUCAGAU
rnacentral:sRNA from 1 species